ACGGGAGACACACGGCGGGUGCUAACGUCCGUCGUGAAGAGGGAAACAACCCAGACCGCCAGCUAAGGUCCCAAAGUCAUGGUUAAGUGGGAAACGAUGUGGGAAGGCCCAGACAGCCAGGAUGUUGGCUUAGAAGCAGCCAUCAUUUAAAGAAAGCGUAAUAGCUCACUGGUCGAGUCGGCCUGCGCGGAAGAUGUAACGGGGCUAAACCAUGCACCGAAGCUGCGGCAGCGACACUAUGUGUUGUUGGGUAGGGGAGCGUUCUGUAAGCCUGUGAAGGUGGCCUGUGAGGGUUGCUGGAGGUAUCAGAAGUGCGAAUGCUGACAUAAGUAACGAUAAAGCGGGUGAAAAGCCCGCUCGCCGGAAGACCAAGGGUUCCUGUCCAACGUUAAUCGGGGCAGGGUGAGUCGACCCCUAAGGCGAGGCCGAAAGGCGUAGUCGAUGGGAAACAGGUUAAUAUUCCUGUACUUGGUGUUACUGCGAAGGGGGGACGGAGAAGGCUAUGUUGGCCGGGCGACGGUUGUCCCGGUUUAAGCGUGUAGGCUGGUUUUCCAGGCAAAUCCGGAAAACUAAGGCUGAGGCGUGAUGACGAGGCACUACGGUGCUGAAGCAACAAAUGCCCUGCUUCCAGGAAAAGCCUCUAAGCAUCAGGUAACAUCAAAUCGUACCCCAAACCGACACAGGUGGUCAGGUAGAGAAUACCAAGGCGCUUGAGAGAACUCGGGUGAAGGAACUAGGCAAAAUGGUGCCGUAACUUCGGGAGAAGGCACGCUGAUAUGUAGGUGAAGCGACUUGCUCGUGGAGCUGAAAUCAGUCGAAGAUACCAGCUGGCUGCAACUGUUUAUUAAAAACACAGCACUGUGCAAACACGAAAGUGGACGUAUACGGUGUGACGCCUGCCCGGUGCCGGAAGGUUAAUUGAUGGGGUUAGCGGUAACGCGAAGCUCUUGAUCGAAGCCCCGGUAAACGGCGGCCGUAACUAUAACGGUCCUAAGGUAGCGAAAUUCCUUGUCGGGUAAGUUCCGACCUGCACGAAUGGCGUAAUGAUGGCCAGGCUGUCUCCACCCGAGACUCAGUGAAAUUGAACUCGCUGUGAAGAUGCAGUGUACCCGCGGCAAGACGGAAAGACCCCGUGAACCUUUACUAUAGCUUGACACUGAACAUUGAGCCUUGAUGUGUAGGAUAGGUGGGAGGCUUUGAAGUGUGGACGCCAGUCUGCAUGGAGCCGACCUUGAAAUACCACCCUUUAAUGUUUGAUGUUCUAACGUUGACCCGUGAUCCGGGUUGCGGACAGUGUCUGGUGGGUAGUUUGACUGGGGCGGUCUCCUCCUAAAGAGUAACGGAGGAGCACGAAGGUUGGCUAAUCCUGGUCGGACAUCAGGAGGUUAGUGCAAUGGCAUAAGCCAGCUUGACUGCGAGCGUGACGGCGCGAGCAGGUGCGAAAGCAGGUCAUAGUGAUCCGGUGGUUCUGAAUGGAAGGGCCAUCGCUCAACGGAUAAAAGGUACUCCGGGGAUAACAGGCUGAUACCGCCCAAGAGUUCAUAUCGACGGCGGUGUUUGGCACCUCGAUGUCGGCUCAUCACAUCCUGGGGCUGAAGUAGGUCCCAAGGGUAUGGCUGUUCGCCAUUUAAAGUGGUACGCGAGCUGGGUUUAGAACGUCGUGAGACAGUUCGGUCCCUAUCUGCC
rnacentral:rRNA from 1 species